AAUAGAUACCCUGGUAGUCCACGCCCUAAACGAUGUCAACUAGCUGUUGGGGCCUUCGGGCCUUGGUAGCGCAGCUAACGCGUGAAGUUGACCGCCUGGGGAGUACGGUCGCAAGAUUAAAACUCAAAGGAAUUGACGGGGACCCGCACAAGCGGUGGAUGAUGUGGAUUAAUUCGAUGCAACGCGAAAAACCUUACCUACCCUUGACAUGUCUGGAAUGCCGAAGAGAUUUGGCAGUGCUCGCAAGAGAACCGGAACACAGGUGCUGCAUGGCUGUCGUCAGCUCGUGUCGUGAGAUGUUGGGUUAAGUCCCGCAACGAGCGCAACCCUUGUCAUUAGUUGCUACGAAAGGGCACUCUAAUGAGACUGCCGGUGACAAACCGGAGGAAGGUGGGGAUGACGUCAAGUCCUCAUGGCCCUUAUGGGUAGGGCUUCACACGUCAUACAAUGGUCGGGACAGAGGGUCGCCAACCCGCGAGGGGGAGCCAAUCCCAGAAACCCGAUCGUAGUCCGGAUCGCAGUCUGCAACUCGA
rnacentral:rRNA from 1 species